rnacentral:rRNA from 1 species
CAGCAGUCGCCACGGGAAUACAGAGGGUGCGAGCGUUAAUCGGAUUUACUGGGCGUAAAGCGUGCGUAGGCGGCUUUUUAAGUCGGAUGUGAAAUCCCUGAGCUUAACUUAGGAAUUGCAUUCGAUACUGGGAAGCUAGAGUAUGGGAGAGGAUGGUAGAAUUCCAGGUGUAGCGGUGAAAUGCGUAGAGAUCUGGAGGAAUACCGAUGGCGAAGGCAGCCAUCUGGCCUAAUACUGACGCUGAGGUACGAAAGCAUGGGGAGCAAACAGGAUUAGAUACCCGUGUAGUCCCUGUCUCUUAUAA